rnacentral:lncRNA from 1 species
AAAAAUUAGAGAGGGAGACAAACCAUGAGACUCCUAACUCUGGGAAACGAACAAAGGGUUGCAGAAAGGGAGGUAGAUGGGGGGAUUCGGUGACUCGGUGAUGGGCACUGAGGAGGGCACCUGAUGGGUUGAGCACUGGCUGUUAUGCUGGGUGUGAUCUAAAUUGAAUUUAAAUUUUUAAAAUGUUAAAAAAAAUAAAUUAAAAGAAUUGGAUAAUUGGGGACUAGAACAGAAUUAUAAAUUGAUGCUUUAUAAAAAGUAACAUAAAACUAGAGACUGGUUAAUUUACCAUUUUGUUUAAUUAUAGCAGUUUAAAAAAAUGACCUUAUCUGGACAUAUUCAAGUGGAUUAUUUUUAAAUCUCAUCAAAUAAUUCAAUCUGUUGAAUAACAUGUUUAGUUCAUUGGCUGAACUAAAGUAACACACAAAAGUAAGUAACAGGAGUAACUUAAGUUUCUAAUAGCAUAAAUAAUAACUUUGUAUUUGUCAAAUUAUUCAUGACUCUAUUUGUUGGCUAAAUGUUGACAUACUUUUCUAAAAUCUAGGGAGUACAUGAUCAGUUAAUUAGAAUAACUGUAUUAUUCAGUCAGUUAGCACAUGAUAUAAACCAUAUUGAUUUGUUAAAAACAUCCUGGCAAUAUAAAAUUUCCUUACAAGUUAUUCAUAGCAUGAAAAUAUUUCCUGCCUAACACUAUUAGUUCUUAGUCCAAAAUAGUACUCAUGGAACUUCACUGAAGAUUUGAGAUCCUGAGACAAAUUAAAAAAAAAAAAAAGUAGCACUCUAUGACCAAGCUGUUGUUUUUUUUUUUUUUUUUAUUACUUCAGUGGACAUGAGGAAGCUAACAUUUAUUGGAUACUUAAAACAUAUGCCAUAAACCGAACAAAGUACUUCAUGUGAAUGAGCUCAUUUAAUCCUCUUAACAGCCCAGUGAGGAAGAUAAUAAUAUUAUCUCCUUUUUACAGAUGAGUAAACCAAAGUUUCAAAACCUUCAGUGACUUCCCAAGGUCAUACAGCUAAUGAACAGGGAAGCCAGGGUUCAAACCAAGCCCUCCCAUUCCAGAACCUACUCUCUUCACCUGUAGUUUAAACUAGAUAAUUUAACUUAUUCUUAAGUAAUAGUGAGGAAAGUUUCCUAUCCUUCCAUUCAUAUUAGGUAGACCUUUAAAAUUAUCGUUAACUUUCUGGAUCAUUGAAAUGAAAAGGUCAAGACCAUGUGACCUAAAUUCCCAUAGUAAAUUGAGAAGUGCCGCUUCACUCCCUGCUGUGCCAUAUUCUCAGCGGUCCAAAGUUCAGCCUCUGUAAUUCUUCAUAUUUAACCGGUUUUCAUCAUGUAAUCAAACAAGAUGUAUGAGAGGCUGAGAACUUGGGAGUGAGGAAGACUAUAUCUAGAUCCUUCAGGGUGUUUUAUUAGUUAUAAGGUGUUAGGUCACAUAUAGUGGGUUGUACUUCCUAUUUUUAUUUCAUCUCUCUUGCCCUGAAGAAGAACCCUACUGAAGAUACUGUAGAGGACUCAUGCAACUGGAGAUGUUUGUUUGUUUGUUUGUUCUAAGAUUUUAUUUAUUCAUAAAAGAUGGAAAGAGAGAGAGAGGCAGAGAGAGAAACAGGCUCCAUGCAGGAAGCGCCCCAAGUGGACUCGAUCCCAAGUGGGACUCGAUCACACCCUGAGCUGAAGGCAGACGCUCAACCACUGAGCCACCCAGGCGUCCCAACUGGAGAUGUUUCUUAAAUCACUUCUAAGAUUCCUUCCAACUCUUAAGUCUCUGAUUUUCAUUUAAAAAGGCAAAAUAUUUAUUCCCUGGUUUGGGCACCAACUCCCCCCCCCAAAAAAAAUAAAAAGGAAAAAUCAUCAUAUGUAAAACACUGAUCCUGAAAGAUGGAUUUUUGAGAGCAAUCAAAGUAAAUUAUUAUCUUUUGUUUUUCUUCACAAGAAAAUGAUUUCUGGUGAGCAUGAAGCUAUGUAAACAUUUCCAGCUAAAGGGCUAUCAUGGUAUUCCGAAUGGCUAGGCAAAAUGAUGUGCAAUUUUGAAUGUUUUUUGGCUUACAAGACAAUUUGGGUAAAUUUCCCUGAAGCCUCAAAAAAAAGUUUCCAAGUCAUCAGGUUAUUACUGUUCUGCUAUUUCCCUGGAAAUAGUACAAAAAGUAUAGGAGAUACAAUUUUUUCAGAUAGCUCUGGCACAGUAUUACUUUGCACGCAGUGCAAGUGUUGGACAGAGGUAGUCCCUGCCGUAGAUAACUAGCAGCCGUGUAACUGAGAAGGAUUCCGAUCAUUAUUUGAUUCAUUGGCCUUCUUGUUCAUUUGCUGGUCUUAAAUGACAGCUAUGGCUGUGGGGAGCCACGCAGCCCUGAAGCCAUGAUUGGCAGGCCCCAGCCACAAAUGAGAAAAGUCCAGAAGGUAAGCAUGCAUAGGUUACAAAGUAACCCAAGAGCUGCUUGCAGCCAAAAGCCAUUUGAGUCUCUUACACAAGAUAUGUUGGUCUUGUGGGAUUAUCACUGCAAGCAGAACAGCCCGAGAAAUGAUUAAAAUUUGCAAUAAUGUACACCCUUCCUUUUAAUUGCCCAUAUUCAAUCUGGAGUGCUCUGGUUAGCCGAAUGUUAGGAAAAAAGAGCAGUCAGCCAAAACCAGCAAUGAGAUUUGCUUAGCCUCAGCAGAGAUGGGGUGGUACUUUCCAGAACUGACUACAGAUCAUGGGCUGGGUGAAUUUCUCAUUUAAGACUAAUUUGGAGCUUACAUUGUACUCCCUACUAUAAAUGUGAAUUAUAUCCCCCUUUUCUGUCUUUGUACUAUAUUCAGGUAGCUGCUGCUUCUGACCCAUUUUCUGUACGUCCCAACAAGG